GAUGAACGCUAGCGAUAGGCUUAACACAUGCAAGUCGAGGGGCAGCACAAGGUAGCUUGCUAUCUGGGUGGCGACCGGCGCACGGGUGCGUAACGCGUAUGCAACUUGCCCUAUACAGGAGGAUAACCCGUCGAAAGACGGACUAAUACUGCGUAUGCUCACAACUUGGCAUCAAGUGGUGAGGAAAGAAAUUCGGUAUAGUAUAGGCAUGCGUCCCAUUAGCUUGUUGGUGAGGUAACGUCUCACCAAGGCAACGAUGGGUAGGGGAACUGAGAGGUUUAUCCCCCACACUGGUACUGAGACACGGACCAGACUCCUACGGGAGGCAGCAGUGAGGAAUAUUGGUCAAUGGGCGCGAGCCUGAACCAGCCAAGUCGCGUGAAGGAUGACUGUCUUAUGGAUUGUAAACUUCUUUUAUACGGGAAUAACAAGAGUCACGUGUGACUCCCUGCAUGUACCGUAUGAAUAAGCAUCGGCUAACUCCGUG
rnacentral:rRNA from 1 species